rnacentral:tRNA from 1 species
GGAGGAGUGGCCGAGUGGUCUAAGGCAGCGGUUUUGAAAACCGCCGGCGGCGCAAGUCGCCCAGGGGUUCGACUCCCUUCUCCUCCG